rnacentral:lncRNA from 1 species
CGUCCCACAAGUAUAUACUAUUCAACGAUUAGGUUAUGCAAAUCCUAAUAGAUUAUGCAAAUAUGAAAUCCUAGAAUAGGUUAUCUUUGCUGAGCAUGGACCAUAUCCUAUCAAGAUCAUGAUCCAUCCCACCUAUAGGUAACUUAUUCCAAAAUCAAAUAUAAAAGAAAUUGAAUAGAACUUGAAAGUAUUUGAGUAAUUGUAGAGAAUAGAAAACAAAUACUUAAAAUUAUGUAAGUGUAAAAAAAUGGAUG